AACACANUCUUGAAAGAACAUACGUCUGAGCGAGCAACGCAAAUCAGUUAAAACUUUCAACAACGGAUCUUUGGUUCCGGCAUCGAUGAAGAACGCAGCGAAAUGCGAUAAGUAAUGUGAAUUGCAGAAUUCCGUGAAUCAUCGAAUCUUUGAACGCACAUUGCGCCCCCUGGCAUUCCGGGGGGCAUGCCUGUUCGAGCGUCAUUUCAACCCCUCAAGCCCGGCUUGUGUGAUGGACGACCGUCCCCCCUCCCCAACAACCACCCACCGCUUAGGGGGGUGGGAGGGAGGGGGACGCGCCCGAAAAGCAGUGGUCAGGCCGCGAUUCCGGCUCCUGGGCGAAUGGGACAUACCACCGCCUCCAGGACCGGCCGGCAGGCGGCCUAACGCACCAUGUAUUAUUCA
rnacentral:misc_RNA from 1 species